CGUGAACCCGGGAGGCGGAGCUUGCAGGGAGCCGAGAUGGCGCCACCGCCCUCCAGCCUGGGCGACAGAGCGAGACUCCGUCUCAAAAAAAAAACCAAAAAAAAAAAAAAAAAAAGAAUCCUCCCUUUCCCUGCUCCGAUUUACAAAGGAAAGGAAAAACUGAAGCUCGGAGAAGCUCAUGGGAGUUGCUGGGAGACACACAGCUAAAACAGUGGCUGUGCGGGGUCAAAGAGCACCUCCAGCUCCCUGCCUCAUACCGUCUUUUUAAAUGUGCUCUUUGCAGCGGGAUACGGAGUCAGACGCCGACUAUGAAGUAAUCGUCCCUUCCUAGCAUAUCUAUCUGGAGGAUCUGCCAGCCCGCCUGUCCCAACCCCCGGCAGCUUCCAUCCUCCAUGCUGGGAAACGUGGCUCAAUUCCCUUGGGGGGCUGGUAGCAGCCAGGAGAUGAGGCAACUGCAGACUUUCUUGACUUCUCAGUACCCAUUCCAAAUGGUCCUCAGGGGAGGCAGAUACCGUGGGCUGUACUGGGGCCUGGGUUCCACCCCCGGGGCUGUGGCCUUGCUAUGGAAGGCAGUCCUGGGAGGGCAUGUGGCUGGUUGCCACAUCAGGAGACACACAGCUCUUCACCCCCGAGAGCCUUCUUGCAGCCCCUAGGGGUCCUCACGACUAACUGGAACAGUAAACCCUUAACUCUGAGAACUUUCCACUCCCUAUUCCCAUUCUAUUUUGGGGUUUUACAUUUCAAGGGGGCAGGCUUUAUCCACACUGAAAUCACUCUCCAUAUUUUCCCAGCAGUCUAACAACCAGGUAGAGAGGAAUCAAGGCGGGGCGGGGCGGGGGGGGGAUUGCCAAGUGUUGGCAAGGCAGGUGCUGUGAUGAAAAGUUAACUUCUUCCAUGUGCAUGAACCCCUCAGCAAAUCUUUCCACCUUCCUGGGCCUGGGCUUCCUUGACUGUAAAGUGAAGGAGGGAAGUACAUUGAUUUCUAGGUUCUGCCUCAAACGUUAAAGACUGUAACAAAUCUUAACUCCCAUCUGAUGGACUGCUUGCUCAGGUAGCAAGAUCAAGGGUAUGAAGAAAGUCCAAGCUGGACAGGAGGAGGAGAGGAGAAGGAAAAGAAGGUGGCGUGUGGGGAAUUAGAAACAAGCUUUGGCAUUGGUUUUGACAUUUUGGUGAUAUUUUUGCUCCUCUAUGCUACUGCUAUUAAUCUUACCUAGUUAAAAAUGUAGGGGGUGGGUGGAAUCUAUCAACUAGGGAAACGAUGGGACAUGGAGUAGUUUCACAAAAGAUUCAGUUUCCUAGAGCCCAGAUCCAAUAGGAUUCAUCCAAGUGACAAAGAAGGUUGCCACAAGUCACAAAGGUUCCAUGAUCCUGUGGCUUCUAGGUCAGGUUCAUUCUGACUGGACUUUAAGCCAAAAAUUACCAGGCUUCCUUAGCCCUGUCCUGUGCGAAGCUGACUCUGAGGUCUGAGUUUCAGCUCUGUGGAGGGCUGAAAUAUUGCCUUUCCUGUUAGCCCCAGGAGAUCCCUCUGAAAAGUGUUCUUGCUGGAGGAGGGAUUCCCCCCAAUUAUGCCAGAAGAAUCCCUGUGCUCAAAUUUUACCCACGCCUGGGAGAAGACUUGCCCAGAACACAUGCUCCAUAGUGUUUUUCAGGAUGGAGUGGGAGUGAGAAAGGAGUGUCUCAGAGGAGGGAUCAGAGUGUACUCGGCUCUGUCGUUGGAUAGCCAGCGACUCCCCAUGAUGUCCAGGUGACAAGUGUGAUGCUAAGUUUUGCAGCCAACUGGCAAAAGCACAGACACCUUUAAAGAGUACUUGACCUGCCUAAGAGAAUGAUUAUUUUUGUCCAUGAAAUAAGUAGCAAAAAAUAUAUAGUAAGACUCUAGGGAUUCUCCUGUUCUACUCCUGGUUUUGCCAACUGAAGUAACCCUUGACCUUGGGCCACUUUUCUCACCAUCACCACUUUAGGCUUCUGCAAAAUGAAGAGGUUGAAGUGAAACCAAAUCACCUUCCCAUAUAUUUUUUGUAGUUCUAAGUGGGGUGAGAAAAUGCAAAAGGCCUGCUCGGGGGUUUCUCCACGGGGAUGUGGGGGCGGGGCAGGAGAAAGAGGGGACAAGGAGAUACCAAAGCCAGCUUCCAGCGCGCUCCUUGUAACAAGGCGCCACGUAAAUUUUAAGGGCCUGGAGGAAAUCUUCUCUUUGAUAAUGCUGACCCCGGAGAGCAGGCGGUGUUCUAAAGGAGGGAGAUGAGCAAGUUCCAAGGGGGCGGGUGAAAGGGAAAUGUCACUUGCUUCCCACUGACUUAACGCGGCAGGAGCGCAGGUGCAAGAAACCCCCGGACCCUCCCUCCGGCCAACCCCCGCGCCCCACCAACCCCCGCCCCAAGCCUCCACUCCUGCUCCCAACUUUCGCCGAAAAUUUAUUGACGCGGCGAGGCCAGGCUAACAACACUGCAAUCCCAGGCUCUUUGGGCCCCAUAGGAAUGCUUUGAUCUCCCCCCAGCUCUAGCGGUCCUCAGCCGACGGCGUGGCCAAACGCCAGGGCUACCCGCGGCGGGUCGCCGUGCGGGGCGCAGCGGGAGGAGGCCGCGCGGGGGCGCUGUGGGGAGGACACGCCGGUCCGCGCUCAGCAUCCGGGCCUGAGACCCAGCGCCCCCGGCUUCCGCGGCCUCCGCGCUCCCUCCGCGUUAACUCAUCGCCCUGUCGCGCCCGCUUCUCCAGCGGGUUCGGCGGUCGGGGGAGGACAGUGAUCGAGUUCGAAGUUCGGAGGGUCUCUGCGUCUCUGGGGUUUCUAUCACUGCUCCUUCCAGCCCUCAAGCGGCUACUCCGAAGAAUGACGAAGGGCCCUACUUGCGUAGAUUCGUGGGAUGAUUUUACCAAGAAGGAAAAGGGGGAAAAGAAAUCACAAUUAUUGAGGGUCCAGCCUUGGUCAGAUUCCGUGUCAGACCCUUCCAACUUGACAUUAUUGACUCUUCACAACUCUUCAUUUUGUAGUCCAGGAAGCAGGCUCCGAGAGACUGCCUAGAAAAAACAGCACCCGGAUCUGAAUUCGAGGCCGUCCCACACCCAUCCCGGUACGGUUCCCAGCAGAACUGAGCUGGAGUGGCCCUGAUGCAAAUGAACUUAGAUCCCAGCUGCUUGUGAUGGAAGCCAAUCCCAGCUUUCCCAAGCUUACAGGUUUUUUCCAGAAGAAGCCAACUUGAUCUCCCGGAACACGAAUUCAGCAGGCUCUCAUCUCAGAACUGCCUCCAAUCCAUCCCAUACCCCUUCACACUUCAGUCCUUGGUAUUUUCUCCGAUCACACCUUCCACUCCUCCUUCAUAUUUGCAAGUCUCUCCCUGCAGAAUCUGCCCCGAGGAGCAAAGGACAUUUUUCCAUGGGGAACAGAAUUUUAGAAUUUCCCUUUGUACCCAUGAGGAACAAAGCUCUGGAAUUUUUACACAGAUUUCUAUUUCCCUGUGGAAGCACUGGAAAGGAAAUGUCAUUCUCACUUUGAAGAGGAAGAGGGAUGCAGCAAGGUAAUAAACGCUUUCUAAAUAAGCACGUUGAUUCAAUGCUUUUCAUUUCUCUUCAGAGGAAACCCUGUUAUUG
rnacentral:lncRNA from 10 species